GUAGGUGGCAAGCGUUGUCCGGAAUUAUUGGGCGUAAAGCGCGCGCAGGCGGUCCUUUAAGUCUGAUGUGAAAGCCCACGGCUCAACCGUGGAGGGUCAUUGGAAACUGGGGGACUUGAGUACAGAAGAGGAAAGCGGAAUUCCAAGUGUAGCGGUGAAAUGCGUAGAGAUUUGGAGGAACACCAGUGGCGAAGGCGGCUUUCUGGUCUGUAACUGACGCUGAGGCGCGAAAGCGUGGGGAGCAAACAGGGAUUAGAUACCCUGGUAGUCCACGCCGUAAACGAUGAGUGCUAGUGUUAGGGGGUUUCCCGCCCCUUAGUGCUGCAGCUAACGCAUUAAGCACUCCGCCUGGGGAGUACGGCCGCAAGGCUG
rnacentral:rRNA from 1 species